rnacentral:rRNA from 1 species
GACGAACGCUGGCGGCGUGCUUAACACAUGCAAGUCGAACGGAAAGGCCCUGCUUUUGUGGGGUGCUCGAGUGGCGAACGGGUGAGUAACACGUGAGUAACCUGCCCUUGACUUUGGGAUAACUUCAGGAAACUGGGGCUAAUACCGGAUAGGAGCUCCUGCUGCAUGGUGGGGGUUGGAAAGUUUCGGCGGUUGGGGAUGGACUCGCGGCUUAUCAGCUUGUUGGUGGGGUAGUGGCUUACCAAGGCUUUGACGGGUAGCCGGCCUGAGAGGGUGACCGGCCACAUGGGGACUGAGAUACGGACCAGACUCCUACGGGAGGCAGCAGGGGGGAAUAUUGCACAAUGGGCCGAAGCCUGAUGCAGCAACGCCGCGUGCGUGAUGACGGCCUUCGGGUUGUAAACCGCUUUCGCCUGUGACGAAGCGGGAGUGACGGUAAUGGGUAAAGAAGCACCGGCUAACUACGUG